rnacentral:lncRNA from 1 species
AAUGAAGAAAGAAUGCAAACGAGUGAUUGAUGGGGAAAAAUUUUCAGGGCCAAAAUCAGGGUAUGACAACUCUGAUGUUUGUUUAUGACAAACUACGUAGGCCCAGGAUGCGACAUCCUGCCGAGUCCACUUCCUUCGUCUCUUUCACCUGUUUUGUUAUUCCAGUUUGUGCAAUUUCCUUGAGCAGUUUUAUUAGCAACCUUAUUCUAUUCUUUUCCUAUUCUUUUGAGCAUGGAUCCCGCCGAGUACGACGGACGUGAG